rnacentral:rRNA from 1 species
CACGUAGGGGGCGAGCGUUGUCCGGAUUUAUUGGGCGUAAAGAGCUCGUAGGCGGCUCAGUAAGUCAGGUGUGAAAACUCCAGGCUCAACCUGGAGACGCCACCUGAUACUGCUGUGGCUAGAGUCCGGUAGGGGAGCAUGGAAUUCCCGGUGUAGCGGUGAAAUGCGCGGAUAUCGGGAAGAACACCCGUGGCGAAGGCGGCUCUCUGGGACGGUACUGACGCUGAGACGCGAAAGCGUGGGGAGCGAACAGG